UUGGUGUGGUUGUUGCUGGCCCUCUCGGGGGCAUGUGCACACCCACCAUCCUCAUCUCUCCACCUGUGCACCUCUUGUAGACCUGGAUAGACUUUCCGAGGCAACUCGGUCGGGAAGAUUGCUGCGCUCUGUGAGCCAGCUUUCUUUGCAUGUCCAGGCCUAUGUUUUUCAUAUACCCCUAUAGAAUGUAACAGAAUGUAUCAUUGGGCCUUGUGCCUAUAAACCUUAUACAACUUUCAGCAACGGAUCUCUUGGCUCUCGCAUCGAUGAAGAACGCAGCGAAAUGCGAUAAGUAAUGUGAAUUGCAGAAUUCAGUGAAUCAUCGAAUCUUUGAACGCACCUUGCGCUCCUUGGUAUUCCGAGGAGCAUGCCUGUUUGAGUGUCAUUAAAUUCUCAACCUUAUUAGCUUUUGUUGAUAAUGGAUUGGAUGUGGGGGUUUAUUUUGCUGGCUUCUUCACAGAGAUCAGCUCCCCUUAAAUGCAUUAGCUGGUGCCCCGCGUGGACCAUCUAUUGGUGUGAUAAUUAUCUACGCCGUGGAUGUCUGCAAUCAUAUGGGUUUUGCACUGCUUCUAACCGUCUGUUCAUUCGGACAAAAUACAUGA
rnacentral:rRNA from 1 species